rnacentral:rRNA from 1 species
UACAGAGGUCCCGAGCGUUGUUCGGAUUCAUUGGGCGUAAAGGGUGCGUAGGCGGCGUGGUCAGUCUGCUGUGAAAUCCCGGGGCUCAACCCCGGAACUGCAUUGGAUACUGCCUUGCUAGAGUACUGGAAAGGGAACUGGAAUUUACGGUGUAGCAGUGAAAUGCGUAGAGAUCGUAAGGAAGACCAGUGGCGAAGGCGGCGCUCUGGAACGUUUCUGACGCUGAGACACGAAAGCGUGGGGAGCAAACAGG